CGAUAAUCGCGAGGCGUGGGUUGCCGCAAGGCAUUGAUAGGGAAUAUGGUGAGGCGCUAGCCGAGUCCAUAGCUGUGCCCGCAACUGUAGGCGCGAAGUCCGGCAUCUGUAUGCCACUGUAUCGACCGGGAAGGCGAUGCCGGACGCCGACGCGCAAGCCAGGAGACCUGCCCGCGCCCGGAACGCCUG
rnacentral:ncRNA from 2 species